rnacentral:rRNA from 1 species
UACGGGGGGGGCAAGCGUUGUUCGGAAUUACUGGGCGUAAAGGGCUCGUAGGCGGCCAACUAAGUCAGACGUGAAAUCCCCAGGCUUAACCUGGGAACUGCGUCUGAUACUGGAUGGCUUGAAUUCGGGAGAGGGAUGCAGAAUUCCAGGUGUAGCGGUGAAAUGCGUAGAUAUCUGGAGGAAUACCGGUGGCGAAGGCGGCAUCCUGGACCGAGAUUGACGCUGAUGAGCGAAAGCUAGGGGAGCAAACGGGG